rnacentral:tRNA from 2 species
GACUCUGUAGUGAAGUUCAUAUUGAGUUGCAAACUCAUUGAUGUACAUUAGAAAUGUGCCGGGGUCU